rnacentral:rRNA from 1 species
AGGACGAACGCUGGCGGCGUGCCUAAUACAUGCAAGUCGAGCGGACUUGAUGAGGAGCUUGCUUCUCUGAGAGUUAGCGGCGGACGGGUGAGUAACACGUAGGCAACCUGACCCUCAAGACUGGGAGUAACUACCGGAAACGGUAGCUAAUACCGGAUAAUUAAAUUCGCCGCAUGGCGGGUUUAUGAAAGGCGGAGCAAUCUGUCACUUGAGGAUGGGCCUGCGGCGCAUUAGCUAGUUGGUGAGGUAACGGCUCACCAAGGCGACGAUGCGUAGCCGACCUGAGAGGGUGAACGGCCACACUGGGACUGAGACACGGCCCAGACUCCUACGGGAGGCAGCAGUAGGGAAUCUUCCGCAAUGGGCGAAAGCCUGACGGAGCAACGCCGCGUGAGUGAUGAAGGUUUUCGGAUCGUAAAGCUCUGUUGCUAGGGAAGAACGUCUCAUAGAGUAACUGUUAUGAGAGUGACGGUACCUGAGAAGAAAGCCCCGGCUAACUACGUGCCAGCCGCGGC